ACACACACCUGCCGCCGCGCACCCGGCUCCGCACUCCCGACUCACCCUCCUGGGGCGCUCACAAUGGCCCCCUGGCCCCGGCCCGCCAGAUCCCCGGAGCGCAGCCCGCAGGGCCUGUGGAGUGGCACUGCGUCCCCUACCAGGCUGGCCCCGCCUGAGGUCCCUCGCUGCUCCCAGAGGGGCCCCCUCGGGUGUCCCUUCUUCUAAACCCUGCCCCGCCGGGCCGCGGCGGUGCUCUCAACCAGAUCCCCGGCCGGGGCGCCCAACUCCGGCUUCCGGCGCUCCCACCCAGAGGCACCGGCUCCGUCCUCCUGUCGCCUGCGCUGCCGCCCGCAGCCGCGUGCUCUCUGCUCCUUUCUCUCCCCUUUUCUGCCACUGCCUUGCCUUUUACCUCCUCUCCUUUCUCCCACCUGCACCCGCCGAGAUCCCUGUCCUCUGUCUCUCCUGCUGCCUCUCCGUCUAUCUUGCCGACGCCCUCUCCCGCGCCUCCUCCUCCCCACCGCCCUGCACUGCCCUCACAUUCUCCGCGCUAUAUGGGGUGCCGCCCGCCACUCGCCCGGCCUAGGGUUCGGGCACACAGUGGGCGGUGAGGGAACCCGCCGCUCCCGGGCCCCGCUGGCCCCUCAGCUCUCGGCUCGCUCCGCGGCUCCUCACUCCGGCCUGGCGGGCGGCGACGUCCCGCGCUAGCCUCGGCUGUCACUGACAGCUCCCAUCUCGCCCGGGCUUAAAGGGAUAGCGCACCGGACUCGACCUGCCCCACCCGGGGGCGCCGGGGAGGGCGGCCUCGUGCGCCAGGACAGUCCAGAGCGGUGGUGCUGCUGGGGCCGGGCGGGCGGCGCCCUGUCUUCCGCCUUUGAGCCAGGCCCUCCGGGGCUGGAGGUGGCUCCAUUCCUAUCUAAAUUUUCAUGUGAAGGAUGUGCCUCAAUGACAAGGGCUGUUCUCAACCCUGGAAUGAGAUGAAUGCAGCAGAAGUACUUAGUCCAAGUGCUCAGUCAAUGUCAUUGGCCGCCAUCAUCGCCACCAUCAUCCUCAUCUUCCCUGAGCAGACGCCUCUUCUGGGAUAGCAACCACACCCAUAUGUGCACCCCCAGUUUGUAGCUCCAAAAAGCACACCUAGGGAGAAGGCAGCAGUCUCCAUUGCUGAGUACAAAAGAUGGCCAGAUGGCAGACUUAAGGGGAAGAAGGAGGGCCUUUCUUUCAAAGGCUGCUCAGAUCCGUUCUGUCCCAAAGCUCCCCCUUGGGAGGACCUGGAAUAUCCUCAUCCCUCCUGUGCUUUUAAGUUAAAACUGAGUACAGGUCUGAGAGGGUCUCCCUCAAUCCCCCACCUUCCAUUCCUAAAUCCUGAUUGGGAAACCCCAUGAAGUAACUCCAGGACCAAGAGUUUGUGGGCCCAUCUUCUCCCUCCAUAGCCUGCUUCUUAUGGCUCCUGGGCUCCCCAUCUCCAUGGGAAACCAGGAAGCUAUAUUCUAGGGAUUGAAGAAGGCAGGGGUCCUCCCCAUUUAAGGAAGGGGCCCAACUCCCAGGGAGGGAGCUGUGUCACCACUACAAGGGUGGGGAAGGAAGAAAGAGAAAAAGAACUGUGCCUCUACCCUUUGCUCCCCACUCCCACAUUCUCCCCAUUCCCCGAACUUGGAAGGGGCAAGGCCUCAAGGCAGAGGCCCCUUAUCCUUGUCAUCACAUUCAGCCCCAGCCAGCCAGGACCCUGUUACUCAGUCUCCAUUGCAAAGCAACUAUGCAGGCUCCACUGGUGGGCCUGAGAACCCUCAACUCUGCCUUUAAACAAACACUUAUUAAGUGACUACAGUGUGCCUGACCUGUGCCAGGCAAUUCUCUUACACUUGAUGCCACUUGAUCCUGUGACAACCCAUGGAAGUAGGUGUUUUACAAGUGAGAAAAGUGAGGCUUAAA